rnacentral:rRNA from 1 species
GACGAACGCUGGCGGCGUGCCUAAUACAUGCAAGUAGAACGCUGAAGGAGGAGCUUGCUUCUCUGGAUGAGUUGCGAACGGGUGAGUAACGCGUAGGUAACCUGCCUGGUAGCGGGGGAUAACUAUUGGAAACGAUAGCUAAUACCGCAUAAGAGUAGAUGUUGCAUGACAUUUGCUUAAAAGGUGCAAUUGCAUCACUACCAGAUGGACCUGCGUUGUAUUAGCUAGUUGGUGAGGUAACGGCUCACCAAGGCAACGAUACAUAGCCGACCUGAGAGGGUGAUCGGCCACACUGGGACUGAGACACGGCCCAGACUCCUACGGGAGGCAGCAGUAGGGAAUCUUCGGCAAUGGACGGAAGUCUGACCGAGCAACGCCGCGUGAGUGAAGAAGGUUUUCGGAUCGUAAAGCUCUGUUGUAAGAGAAGAACGAGUGUGAGAGUGGAAAGUUCACACUGUGACGGUAUCUUAACAGAAAGGGACGGCUAACUACGUG